AAAUAGCCCAGAUAGUAGCGAUAUCCUUUUUUACAAAAAAAAGAUAAAGCGAAUAGCUGGAAAAGCU
rnacentral:sRNA from 1 species